ACUCAAAUGAAUUGACGGGGGCUCACACAAGCGGUGGAGCAUGUGGCUUAAUUCGAGGCUACGCGCAGAACCUUAUCCCGGGCUUGACAUGCACGGAUUAGCCGGCGGAAACGUCGGCGAGGCCGCAAGGUACAACGUGCACAGGUGCUGCAUGGCUGUCGUCAGCUCGUGCCGUGAGGUGUUGGGUUAAGUCCCGUAACGAGCGAAACCCCUGUCCCUAGUUGCCAGCGGGUCAUGCCGGGAACUCUAGGGAGACCGCCGGCGUCAAGCCGGAGGAAGGCGGGGAUGACGUCAAGUCCUCAUGGCCCUUAUGCCCGGGGCUGCACACGUGCUACAAUGGGCCGGACAGAGCGUCGCCAGGCCGCGAGGCCGAGCUAAUCGCCCAAACCGGCCCCCAGUUCGGAUUGCGGGCUGCAACCCGCCCGCAUGAAGCCGGAAUCGCUAGUAAUCGCGGAUCAGCACGCCGCGGUGAAUGGGUUCCUGAGCCUUGUACACACCGCCCGU
rnacentral:rRNA from 1 species